GACGAACGCUGGCGGCGUGCCUAAUACAUGCAAGUCGAGCGCAGGAAACUGACGGAACUCUUCGGAGGGAAGGCAGCGGAAUGAGCGGCGGACGGGUGAGUAACACGUAAGGAACCUGCCUCAAGGAUUGGGAUAACUCCGAGAAAUCGGAGCUAAUACCGGAUAGUUCAUCGGACCGCAUGGUCCGCUGAUGAAAGGCGCUCCGGCGUCACCUUGAGAUGGCCUUGCGGUGCAUUAGCUAGUUGGUGGGGUAACGGCCCACCAAGGCGACGAGGGAUAGCCGAGCUGGGAGGGUGAGCGGCCACACUGGGACUGAGACACGGCCCAGACUCCUACGGGAGGCAGCAGUAGGGAAUCUUCCACAAUGGACGAAAGUCUGAUGGAGCAACGCCGCGUGAGUGAUGAAGGUUUUCGGAUCGUAAAACUCUGUUGUAAGGGAAGAACACGUACGAGAGGGAAUGCUCGUACCUUGACGGUACCUUACGAGAAAGCCACGGCUAACUACGUGCCAGCCGCCGCGGUAA
rnacentral:rRNA from 1 species